rnacentral:rRNA from 1 species
ACGAACGCUGGCGGCGUGCUUAACACCUGCAAGUCGAACGGAAAGGCCCCUUUGGGGGUACUCGAGUGGCGAACGGGUGAGUAACACGUGAGUAACCUGCCCUUGACUUCGGGAUAACUUCAGGAAACUGGGGCUAAUACCGGAUAGGAAUCCUUGCUGCAUGGUGGGGGUUGGAAAGCUUCGGCGGUUUUGGAUGGACUCACGGCUUAUCAGCUUGUUGGUGGGGUAGUGGCUUACCAAGGCUUUGACGGGUAGCCGGCCUGAGAGGGCGACCGGCCACAUUGGGACUGAGAUACGGCCCAGACUCCUACGGGAGGCAGCAGUGGGGAAUAUUGCACAAUGGGCGGAAGCCUGAUGCAGCAACGCCGCGUGCGGGAUGACGGCCUUCGGGUUGUAAACCGCUUUCAGCAGGGGCGAAGCUUGUGGUGACGGUACCUGCAGAAGAAGCACCGGCUAACUACGUG